AUGAAUUUUCAAAGAAAGCCCACUGACUUGGUUGUAAUCUGGAAAUCUGAAAUUUUCAGAUUUUUGCUUGUUAAAUACCCAUCUUUGAGAGGGCAUAUCUUGCUCGUUUGAAUUGUUUUUCAUUCGAUUCAAAUUGGAGAAUGAUCCUUGAAAUGUCUAGUUUCCAGAAUGUCUUUUGGAGCAUCAUUUGGAGAUCCGAGGCAGAUUUGGUGUCUGUUGCAAAACAACCCCUUAAGAGCUCAAGUUGUUGAAUUAUUUUCUAUGUAUCAAAGUUUAUUUUAAAGGAUGUUUCAUGAAAGAUUUCGUAUAUGUGCGUAACAAGUUUGGGACUAUUUAUUUUAAAUGAGGUCCGUUCUUUAUUUAAAUUAUGAUGGACUUUUAAUGAAUAUUUUUGGGAUUAAACUCUUAUUUCUUGAUUUAUAUAAAUUAUUUUUUUUAAGGACUUAUAAAUAUGAAUUUCGUAGGCCUACUGACCUACUGUGAUCGACGGUUUGUCGAUGUCUAAUAGCUUUGAAAAUUUUAUAGCAAGUCCUGACAUGAGUCUUGAGUACCCUGGUAAAAUUUCAAGCCAUUCCAACUUCGUUUGAUACUUCUUUAAAAUGCAAAACCUAAACUGCACAUAACUACCGAGAAUUUCAGAGAACAGAUGAAAGAGUCAUUUAUUUCAGUAGCUUCCUGUGUGAUCUAGCUUUCCAAAUUUUUAUGGUAUUAACCUUAUUGUGUUAGCUAGAUAUCCACCAAAGUUGAGCCCAGUUUGACAACGUUUACUAUUUGUCAAAAAUCCAAGUUUUCGAUUGUUCAAAACUGCCGAACAUGGUAGAUCGUGGUAAAAACGUCAUAUCUCUCAAACCACUUGGAGUUUUCGACUCUACUUUUUUUUAUAUGAAACUAGAUUCGAAGAUCUUUCUUUCGGUAUGAGUCUCGAGUCCAGGAGAUGUCGGAGUCAGAACAGAUUAAAUUUUGAAGUUGAGUCAGUGUAAAAAUAGAGCAUGUUUUAAUGAUGUUUUUGGACUUCGGACUUUAAAGCGAACUAUUAUCAUUUAUUUCUUUAAAGCCACUGGUUUAUUUAAUUAAUUGGCUACUCUCUUUUGAGCCUAUUAAUUAUUUGAGGUUACGCUAGUAAUGAUGUAACGAAUUAUGGAUGCUAGAACCCUAAAACACUAAAAGAUACCCUAGGCACGUAGAAUUAGACUUUGUCUUAUGACAAUUACUUCACGAACUUAUCGACUCUUCAUCAAUGAAGGUCCGGGCGACAGAAAGUGAAGCCGAAGAAGAAACGACUCCACGCCAGCUUUAAGAACAAUUGAGGUUGAGCUGUGAUGGGCGAUGAAGUGUUGCUGAGUGGAGUUUUUGUCGAACUUAAAGUAGGCUCAGAAAGGAUACAUGUCUUCAUACAUGUAUCACAGUUAUGCUUUCCGCUGUAAACACUGAUUAUUUCAGUUACGCCUUCCGUUGCAAACUCUGAUAAUGUUUUAGCCAAGCCCCUAAUGAUGCCUUUUUCCUUUUAAGGAAUAUAACGCGUAUACAAGUUCUUUGAGUACCCUUUUUAUGCGACCUAUGCCUUUUUCCUUUUUAAGGAAUAUUUCACGCGUAUUCAAGUCCUUUGAGUAUUCUUUUAUGCGCCCCUUUCUAAACCCGCUUCUUAAUUUCCCUUCCCCAGUCAUGGUUUUCCCGGAUUAAUUAUCCUUAAUUAAGGCCGGUCGUGACAGAGUGGUAUCAGAGCAGUUCGUUUGCUCUGAGCCUAAGAGUUUAUUUAAGCCAAACUUUGAAUUGAUCACUAAAGUGUCUAGAGUUCAAUCGACAAAGCUCAGCACUUCAUCGCAUCACACUCAACGAAGCAGAAUGGUCCGGGCGACAGAAAGUGAAGCCGAAGAAGAAACGACUCCACGCCAGCUUUAAGAACAAUUGAGGUUGAGCUGUGAUGGGCGAUGAAGUGUUGCUGAGUGGAGUUUUUGUCGAACUUAAAGUAGGCUCAGAAAGGAUACAUGUCUUCAUACAUGUAUCACAGUUAUGCUUUCCGCUGUAAACACUGAUUAUUUCAGUUACGCCUUCCGUUGCAAACUCUGAUAAUGUUUUAGCCAAGCCCCUAAUGAUGCCUUUUUCCUUUUAAGGAAUAUAACGCGUAUACAAGUUCUUUGAGUA